rnacentral:lncRNA from 1 species
CUCCUUUUUCUUUAUCUGACCUCUCCCAAAUCAGAUAGCGUUUAGGCUCUUUUUCAUCAAAUGUAAAAACACAGCCCAGUUCAUGGCUCGUUUGGCAGCAACUCUGAGAUGCUUUACAGCCCUAGACCCUAAAAGGUCAAAAGGCCGUCUUAUUCUCAAUAUACAUUUUAUUACCCAAUCCGCUCCUGACAUUAAAUAAAACUCCAAAAAUUAAAUUCCGGCCCUCAAACCCCACAACAGGACUUAACCUCACCUUCAAGAUGUACAAUAAUAGAGUAGAGGCAGACAAGUAGUAACGUAUUUCUGAGUUGCAAUUCCUUGCUUCCACUGUGAGACAAACCCCAGCCACAUCUCCAGCACACAAGAACUUCCAAACGCCUAAACCGCAGUGGCCAGGCGUUCCUCCAGGCCCGCCUCCCCCAGGAGCUUGCUACAAGUGCCAGAAAUCUGGCCACCAGGCCAAGGAAUGCCAGCAGCCCAGGAUUCCUCCUAAACCACGUCCCAUGUGUGUGGGACCCCACUGAAAAUCAGACUGUUCAACUCACCUGGCAGCCACUCCCAGAGCCCCUGUAACUCUGGCCCAAGGUUCUCUGACUGACUCCUUCCCAGAUCUUCUCGGCUUAGCAGCUGAAGACUGACACUGCCUGAUUUCCUCGGAAGCCCCCUAGACCAUCACGGACGCAGAGCUUCAAGUAACUCUCACAGUGGAGGUGUCUUGCUCCAUAGGCGGAAGAGCAACCCCUGAGGAUGUGCAGACCAUGCACGAAUAGGUGGUGAGAGCAGUUAUCAUGACGCAGAGGGAUGGUUCCGGUUUGACUUCAGCUGCUGCAUUCCUGCUCUCUGGAUAGUAGACAGCGAAGUGCAAAAGAAGUGCUCUGUAUCAGUGACUCACAGCAAGACAGGAAAUCUCAAGCAGGUCCACCCUUCCUUCCUGCCCUUCGAAGAGCUGAGUUGCAGAACCACAGGCCACAACUAGCCUAGAGUCUUGGUGAGAACGGCUGGAGCCAGGAGUCAGAGACAGAGCAACUGCGAUCAGCUCUUGAAAUGGAUUCACGUCAGGGCCCUGCUGCAAGGAAAAUACUUUUCUCUUUUUUCUACAAGAAUACUUUUUCUGUAGAGAUUUCUCUUUUCAUAUUUACUCAGUAUCUCCCUGGCUUGUUCUGGCCUUCGUAUUGUUUUUAAAAAUGAAAACAAUGGGCUUGAUAUAAUUCAAUCGAUUAGACUUCAUUUAUACCAAGUUUAAAAAGCAUGCAAGAAAUGACAUCAGUCAUUGUCAAGCAAUGUUUCCACAAUGGCAAAAUGGCAGAAAGUAUUUCACCAGCAAAAUGCAAUUGCAUUUACAGUAGAAUUUGGGACCUAGAGUAAAAUUCCUUCAACUCAUGUUUCUCUUCAUGUGAGCAGCAAACAAUUAUGAUAAUAAUAAAGGCUAACAAUUACCCCAAGGACUGAUCUAAACACUUUUGCAAUUUAAGUCAUUUAAGGGUUACAACUACCCUUUGAGAUCUAUACAUUAUUAUUUCUCCCAUUUUACAGAUGAGGAAGCUAUCAAAGUGAAUGAAAGCCUCAUCUGAUCUCCCAAAAUUGUUUUAAACCUCAUAAAUAGUAAACAAAGCCCAAAUAUAUAAAAUACAUUUAUAUGUGUGUGUGAGUAAUAAAUAAAUCUGCUGCUUGCAGUGAUUUAUUGUAAGACUCAAAUGAGUAAAUGAUAUAAAAUGAUGAUUUAUAUAUUUCCUGCAUUUGGCCAGGUUCAGUAAUCUAUUUCCAACGAUUCAAAAAAAUGUAAAAAAAAAAUCCCUACUAAAAAUCAAAAGUCAAAACUCUUCAACGAGUUGUUUACAACAGACCAAAUGUCAGUAGCUUUUGACAAGUCCAUCUCAUUGUCUUCCUGCAAGGUAGCAAUGUCAAAAAAAAAAAAAAAAGUAGCAGAAAUCUGAAUAUCUGUGUGUCAAUCAACAAACUAGCUCUGAGACUGAAAAAUUUCUUGGGAGGAUGUGUGUGUGUGUGUGCGUGCGUAGAAAGACAGCAAAACUAUCUUUCAAUUCUCACCUCCUUUUAUUUUCCUGCUCUUCCCAAACUUAACCCAAACCUUGUAUUCCAGCCAACCCAAUAUACUUCUAAUGUUCUUGUUCCUUGUCUCACGUGUUUGAAUAUGGUGCUCUUUCGCUGUCUAAAAAGCCAUUCCCCCCUGCAUUCCACCUACUAAUCAUGCAGAAAUAGGAGGAAUAGCAUUUUGGCAUCAGGAACCACUGGUUCAGAGGUGCUAAGCCUAGAGAUCAAGCUAGAGUUCCCAAAGAACUGAAAGGAGCCAGCAUGACUGAAUUACAGUCAGGGGCCACAUCCCAUUGGCUUUGUAAGACCAGUAAGAAAUUUAAAUUGAGGCCGAGCGUGGUGGUUCACGCCUGUAAUCCCAGCACUUUGGGAGGCCAAGGAAGGCAGAUCACAAGGUCAAGAGAUUGAGACCAUCCUGGUCAACAUGGUGAAAACCCAUCUCUGCUAAAAAUACAAAAAAAUUAGCUGGGUGUGUUGGCACGCACCUGUAGUCCCAGCUACUUGGGAGGCUGAGGCAGGAGAAUCGCUUGAACCCAGGAGGUGGAGGUUGCAGUGAGCUGAGAUCGUGCCACUGCACUCCAGCCUGGGUGACAAGAGCGAGACUCUAUCUCAAAAAAAGAAAGAAAUUUAAAUUGAAAAUUUAAAGUGGAGGAUUGAUAUAAUCUAAUCUAUCUGGCUGUUAUAUCUAAUUAGAUAUAUCUAAUCACUCUGGCUGUUGAGUGAGUGCACACUUAAUGUUAGGGAGUCAAGUGUAGAAGAGGAAACAUGAGUUAGAAUAUAGGUGCAUGUGUCAAGCCAAUUCUUUCUUCUUUGUGCUCAUACAUUUUGUAAAUACUCAACAUUAACAUGCUCUUUAAAAACUGGUUUAUGUUUUCUUUUCUUGUACUUAGAUAAUAAGAUCCUUGAAAGCAGGCCUGAACCACCAUUGUACAAUAAACAUUUCCUGCAUGAAUAAAUUAAUGAAAGAAUGAAUAAUAAAACAAGAUCUCUUCCCAGAGAAAGUUUAAAGCCUCUGAAGACAGCAGACAUCCAUUUGAAUAACCACAUAACAAAGUGAAUCAUUUAUAUUGCAAAAGACAGAGAAAGCAUUAUACUUGAGGGCAGAGGAGGGAGAAAGCAUAUUACUCAAAUAAAGAUGUGAUACUGAAU